rnacentral:rRNA from 1 species
AUUGAACGCUGGCGGCAGGCCUAACACAUGCAAGUCGAGCGGAUGAAGGGAGCUUGCUCCUGGAUUCAGCGGCGGACGGGUGAGUAAUGCCUAGGAAUCUGCCUGGUAGUGGGGGAUAACGUCCGGAAACGGGCGCUAAUACCGCAUACGUCCUGAGGGAGAAAGUGGGGGGUCUUCGGACCUCACGCUAUCAGAGGAGCCUAGGUCGGAUUAGCUAGUUGGUGGGGUAAGGGCCUACCAAGGCGAGGAUCCGUAACUGGUCUGAGAGGAUGAUCAGUCACACUGGAACUGAGACACGGUCCUGACUCCUACGGGAGGCAGCAGUGGGGAAUAUUGGACAAUGGGCGAAAGCCUGAUCCAGCCAUGCCGCGUGUGUGAAGAAGGUCUUCGGAUUGUAAAGCACUUUAAGUUGGGAGGAAGGGCAGUAAGUUAAUACCUUGCUGUUUUGACGUUACCAACAGAAUAAGCACCGGCUAACUUCGUG